GAUGAUAUAAGGAGCUCAAAGUACAUGUAAUUGUUCUUAUUAUUGCUGCAUAGAACCUGCAGAAGUAAUGCAAGAAAUGUUUAAAUUUUUUAUUCUUGAUAAUUUUUUAUAAAACUCUUGGUUAGCCAGUGUUCAACAACACAGAAGCUGAAGAGAUGGACCCAUGUGUCUACAUCAUCCUCUACUCCUCCAGUGGACACAACAGGGUUGAUGACAUUCCAGUUUGACCGGAAUCCUGAUAGUUCGGACAGUUUCCAAGAAAUCAGCCUGUUGCUGAUCAUGAUGCAAAGACCAAGAACCUUUUAUUGGGUCGCGGGGGUGCCGGAGCCUAUCCCGGCUGCUGAUGGGCGAAGGCGGGGUACACCCUGGACAGGUCGCCAGUCUGUCGCAGAAUACAGUUUGAGGACAUAAAAUGACCCUGAAGCAGAUAGAGGUCAUGCUGGUGAGCAGAGCUCGACCUCCCUACUCCAGCAGACUCUGGGUUUUCCCUCCCCAGGCUGAUCGGACAUCACUGUUGUUCCCAAACAGGAAGGCCCAGAAUUCCACAACAAGGUGCAGCUCCGUCACUGCCCAGCUCCGCCUGCACCUGCUAAAACAUUUGGGAUAUUUGAGCGGCAGGGCAACACAUUUGCUUUUCAUUGAACCUGCCUUUGGAGACCUUUGAAGUGCAGAAAAGCAGCGCAGCACCCCCCCACUUCCUCCCCCCACCAUCCCCCUUAAUCAUUUACCUAGCAAAGACGCUUUCUCUGCAGCGAACUCAUCAAGCGGAAAACGAGUUUGGCCCACAAUUCCUCCCUAGAUCCCUCCCUCCUGUCCUCCCCUGCUCUGUGUUGGUCUGUUCUGCUCUGUGUCAUUGCGCCCCCCCUUUAUGAAAGGCUGCUGCAUCCAACUCCACUGUACAUGAAGGAGGGGGGGGCAUGCAGUCAAUUGUUGGUCUUGUCUGGGCGUGAAAGGUUUCAAGAGACGUUGUGGCUGGCAGCUCAUUGAUAAAACACGGCUAAUUAUCUUUGGUGUCAAUUAUGAAAACAUUUGUUGCCGUUGUGAAAAUGUUCUUUGUGUUUUUGUGAAGAUAAUGAAACAAUUAAAUGAACUGCUGUGAACUUAAGCUGGGAAGACAGCCACAUUUGGUCUGGAUGUUUCAUCAUCUUCUGUGAUUUUAUCAGCCUUUCAUUCUGGUGAGAGAACGUCCUCAUUAGACUCUGUUUAGGAGUGUCUGAGGAAGCCAUUCUUUACGUUAAUGUUAGAAUAUUGGUGUUGAUUAAAAUAUUUUCUUCUGAACGCUUGUCAGAUUAGAACGUGUUGGCAUUCCUUAAAAUGAGCAAAGAAGUCUGGAUUUAAUGAAAGUUUAGAAGCAGCAGUGAAAUGCAGUGGCGGUCUAUACAUUUUCAGCACUGUCUUCAGCUUUCUUCUGCCAAAGCCAUCCUUGUUAAUAGUAGCUAUUUAUGUUUCUAACACCAUCUGAAUAUUAUUUUAUGAGCAAUUACAUCAUAAAUAGAUCAUUGAAAUAAACAGAAUUCACUACAAUUGCACAUAUUGUAAAAACAAACUCUGCAAUAACAGCGGCAACAACAAGCAUCAAAGCACAAUUGACAACUCAUGCAACUUUAAAAAAUGCUUUUUUAUUUACAGCAAAUUAAACUUAUUUAAAGAUGAACUCCAGAGUUCAGCGGCAGAUUUCCCUGGAAAAUCUUGCAUGCCGUAUAUGACAGUUCUGUUCUCAUCUGAGUGCUGUGCUAAGACGGAUGUGCAGGAAGUUUUUCUUGGUGCUCCUGAAAUUUCUUGCGGUUGAUUAGUGUGAUAAACACUAGCUUUUCAUUGUCUUGAAACCUGUUUUUCAAAACGCAUAAAAAAGGGCAAAAAAUGUUAAUACACAAUUUUCAUUGGAAUAGGUCCUCUAUUAGAUUAAAAAAAAAAAAAAUGUGCUAAAAAAAAAAAA